GGGGUGCCCUUCAUCAUCUUGUGAGCAUCUGGGCCAAGUUCAGGGCUGGUGCUCUCGUUCAGAUAGAUUUAGCUGGUGGUGCAGAGAUCCGUGAGCUUGCUUUUACAGGACUUUAAUGAUAUAUAAAAGCAGCACGAGGUGCUCCUGACUGUGGAUUAAUUUGGAGAUGACUUUCUCUGUUGAAGAGUAGCAAGACUCUCGCGAGUUCUUAAAAAUGCACUUGUUUGGUAUGAGAAUGAAAAGCAGUGGCUGAAGAACCAAUCUUCAAUGGGCAAGCCUUCUCUGUGUCUGUUCUAACACGUGCCAUUUGGGAUCCCUUGGAAUCUUCAUGUACAGAACUGGUUGCUGCCUCGUUGAGUCGGUGGGGACAGAAUAGCUCCUGGUUGACAGCAUGGGUUGUGCAGAAGGACGGAUCCUGCAGACAUCAAUAUCUGGCUUUGAGUGGCACAAAGAAAUAAAGGAAUGUGGAUUCAGACCUCACUGGGAUGCUUGGCAAUUCUAAUUCUACCCCAGACUGCAAAUGGACACACAACUGUUGUGACUUUUGUUGAAGAGGAGAAG
rnacentral:lncRNA from 1 species